GACGAACGCUGGCGGCGUGCCUAACACAUGCAAGUCGAACGGAAAGGCCCUGCUUUCGUGGGGUGCUCGAGUGGCGAACGGGUGUGUAACCCGUGAGUCACCUGCCCUUGACUUUGGGACAACCUCAGGAAACCGGGGAUACUACCUGAUAGGAGCUGCUGAUGCAUGGUGGGGGUUGGACCGCUUCGGCGGUUGUGGAUGGACGCGGGGCUUAUCAGCUUGUUGGUGGGGUAGUGGCUUACGAAGGCUUUGACGGAUAGUCGGCCUGGGAGGGGGGCCAGCGACAAGACUACUACGGUACGGCCCAGUCGCCAACGGUAGGCAGCGGUGGGGAAUAUUGCACAAUGGGCGGAAGCCUGAUGCAACAGCGCCGCGAUCGGAAUGACGGCCAUCUGGUGGUAAACCGCUUUCGCCUGUUACGAAGCGUGAGUGACGGUAAUAGGUAAAGAAGCACCGGCUAACUACGUG
rnacentral:rRNA from 1 species